rnacentral:tRNA from 1 species
ACCUUCGUGGUGUAGUGGUCAGCACACACGACGUGUAUUCGAGAGGUCCCGGUUCGAGUCCUGGCGAGGGCA